AUUGAACGCUGGCGGCAGGCCUAACACAUGCAAGUCGAACGGUAACAGGAAGAAGCUUUCUUCUUUGCUGACGAGUGGCGGACGGGUGAGUAAUGUCUGGGAAACUGCCUGAUGUAGGGGGAUAACUACUGGAAACGGUAGCUAAUACCGCAUAACGUCGCAAGACCAAAGAGGGGGACCUUCGGGCCUCUUGCCAUCGUAUGUGCCCAGAUGGGAUUAGCUAGUAGGUGGGGUAACGGCUCACCUAGGCGACGAUCCCUAGCUGGUCUGAGAGGAUGACCAGCCACACUGGAACUGAGACACGGUCCAGACUCCUACGGGAGGCAGCAGUGGGGAAUAUUGCACAAUGGGCGCAAGCCUGAUGCAGCCAUGCCGCGUGUAUGAAGAAGGCCUUCGGGUUGUAAAGUACUUUCAGCGGGGAGGAAGGGAGUAAAGUUAAUACCUUUGCUCAUUGACGUUACCCGCAGAAGAAGCACCGGCUAACUCCGUG
rnacentral:rRNA from 1 species